UACGUAGGGGGCUAGCGUUGUCCGGAAUCAUUGGGCGUAAAGAGCGUGUAGGCGGCCCGGUAAGUCCGCUGUGAAAGUCGGGGGCUCAACCCUCGAACGCCGGUGGAUACUGUCGGGCUAGAGUGCGGAAGGGGCGAGUGGAAUUCCUGGUGUAGCGGUGAAAUGCGCAGAUAUCAGGAGGAACACCAAUUGCGAAGGCAGCUCGCUGGGACGUAACUGACGCUGAGACGCGAAAGCGUGGGGAGCAAACAGG
rnacentral:rRNA from 1 species